CUUGAGAAAAAAAGGAAAAAGAGAAAGCGAGAGAGACAUCCAAAGAGUGUUAGAAGAUGUGACUGCAGGAGAGCUGGUGUUCCAGAUGUACUAGAGGGACUGCAAGUGUGAGCAGGCAGAUUGCCAGAAUUUGCUGCUUCCCACCUUUCCUCGAGACUUGCAGAAGUAAUAGACAGUAAUAGUCUAAGACAAAUCAGCUCCUUGUAAAAUAGAACAAGGAAACCAAGAGUCCUAAGAAAGCUGUGUCAAAUAUUUUUAUUGGCAUAGAGAGAAGAGCAAUUAAUAAGCUAUUUUAUUGGCUUUAGAAAUACUUUUAAUUGGAAAAAUUCUGGAAUUGAUGACAUAUAACAGAACAUGUAUAUUGCCCACGAUCCUACCCAUGUGCCCCCCCCUUGCAGAAUAAAAGAAUGGGAGAAAAAAAAAGAAGAAACCCCAUCAAAUCC
rnacentral:lncRNA from 1 species